UAAGGGGAGUCGGCAGCAGCCUCUGAGCGGAUCGACUCUCCUUGUUCGCCCAGCUCGCUCAGCUCCUUCCAGCAACCAUGUCUGACAAAUCCGAUAUGGCUGAGAUCGAGAAAUUCAAUAAGUCAAAGUUGAAGAAGACAGAAAUGCAAGAGAAAAAUCCUCUGCCUUCAAAAGAAACAAUUGAACAAGAGAAGCAAGCUGGCGAAUCGUAAUGAGGCGAGCGCUGCCAAUAUGCACUGCCUUCUUAUUUUACUUCUUUUAGCUGUUUAACUUCGUAAGAUGCAAAGAGGUUGGAUCAAGUUUAAAUGACUGUGCUGCCCCUUUCACAUCAAAGAAGCAGAACUGCUGACCAGGAAGGCUCCCCCGCCUCUCCCGCCCAUCUGCUGGCCUGGCUAGCAGAGAGGGAAAAGAACUUGUAUGUUGGUGAAGGAAAAAGCUGGAUGGGAGAGAUGGUGGAAUUGAGAAUAAAAUAAAGAUGGUCCAAGAUGUCUUGCAGGAUAUAAAAUGCAGUUUAAUCAGAGUGCCAUUUUUUUUUGUUCAAACGAUUUUAAUUAUUGGAAUGCACAAUUUUUAAUAUGCAAAUAAAGUUUUAAAACCUGAAAGAAAAAAAAAAGAGUUAA
rnacentral:lncRNA from 1 species